GAUGAACGCUGGCGGCGUGCCUAAUACAUGCAAGUCGAGCGAACGGACGAGAAGCUUGCUUUUCUGAUGUUAGCGGCGGACGGGUGAGUAGCACGUGGAUAACCUACCUAUAAGACUGGGAUAACUUCGGGAAACCGGAGCUAAUACCGGAUAAUAUUUUGAACCGCAUGGUUCAAAAGUGAAAGACGGUCUUGCUGUCACUUAUAAAUGGAUCCGCGCUGCAUUAGCUAGUUGGUAAGGUAACGGCUUACCAAGGCAACGAUGCAUAGCCGACCUGAGAGGGUGAUCGGCCACACUGGAACUGAGACACGGUCCGGACUCCUACGGGAGGCAGCAGUAGGGAAUCUUCCGCAAUGGGCGAAAGCCUGACGGAGCAACGCCGCGUGAGUGAUGAAGGUCUUCGGAUCGUAAAACUCUGUUAUUAGGGAAGAACAUAUGUGUAAGUAACUGUGCACAUCUUGACGGUACCUAAUCAGAAAGCCACGGCUAACUACGUG
rnacentral:rRNA from 1 species